CCUACGGGAGGCAGCAGUGAGGAAUAUUGGUCAAUGGCCGGAAGGCUGAACCAGCCAAGCCGCGUGAAUGACGAAGGUGCCAAGCAUUGUAAACUUCUUUUGUCAAGGGACAAAAUCAGGCUCGAGAGCCUGACCGAGGGUACUUGAAGAAAAAGCAUCGGCUAAGUCCGUGCCAGCGGCCGCGGUAAUACGGAGGAUGCGAGCGUUAUCCGGAUUUAUGGGGGUUAAUGGGUGCGUAGGCGGGCUGUUAAGUCAGCGGGAAAAGCCCGGGGUUAAACCCCGGCGAGCCGUUGAAACGGGCUGUCUUGAGAUGUCGAGAGGUAUGCGGAAGACGCAGUGUAGCGGUGAAAUGCUUAGAUAUUGCGCAGAACUCCGAUUGCGAAGGCAGCAAACCGGCGGCGAUCUGACGCUGAGGCACGAAAGCGUGGGUAUCGAACAGGAUUAGAUACCCUGGUAGUC
rnacentral:rRNA from 1 species